rnacentral:tRNA from 1 species
GGGCGCUUAGCUCAGUUGGUAGAGCAUCUCGUUUACACCGAGAAGGCCCAGCCUAUCACAGCGGACAUCCUGUGCAUGCGACUGAGCCUUCC